UUGAGCCGCGCUGGUUGUGUUGCAGGGAAAGAAGUGAAAAUGAAAUCGCCAAAGCAUGGUAGUGGAAACGCUUUGUUUUAUGAGAUCAAAAAAAGUUAAAAGAGCAAAAGGAUUGCAGCAGGAUUCAUGGAUUGAAAAUGGGUUUCUAGGUAUGAGGCCGCCUCAACACGUGGUCCGGUACCCGGCCCAGCUAAUGUGAAAGGUCAAUGCUUCAACAUGGCCAGAUAUCUGGAAAUAUAUAAUGCAGAGCAAGCCGACAUUUUAGUUGGUCAUUCGAUCCGGAAAACGUGACUAAGGUGCAUUUCUUGAUCAGCCGCACUUCAAUCGUAUUCUAUCUGUCAGAUGUGGCUUUUGUUGACGAUCCUCCAUAAUUUGGAACAACGGAGGAACCCCAAUUCAUACCAUAAAUAGAAGUGUAUACCCCCGUUGAAAGACGUCUGAACUACGAACUGGUCUAUCGAACAGAUAGAAAAAUAAGGAUCAUGAAGCUAGUGUUGCCUUUAUCCGAAGUACCCUGAAGACUUCAAAGUAUUGCAUUGCAUGUGCUGCUCCGUUGAUUUGCUCUACACCAGUUGAUCAGAUUCAGCAUAAUAUAUAAGAUUGAUGUAUCACCACUGUCCUAAGGAUACUACAUUUGCUUGAGUUUCACAUAUAUUUUAAGAUAUGUUACCUUUCGAUCAAUGAUCGAUCACACAUUUUGUUAGUGCGUUUGUUGGCGUAGUCACCAGACAACAGGAAAAGACCUCCUCCCAUCAUUAAAACAACAGAGGUUGUUUUGUUCGAGAAUAAAAUGCAUAAAAUAAAAUUAAAUUGAAAAUCAAA